AGUGAACGCUGGCGGUAGGCCUAACACAUGCAAGUCGAACGGCAGCACAGUAAGAGCUUGCUCUUACGGGUGGCGAGUGGCGGACGGGUGAGGAAUACAUCGGAAUCUACUUUUUCGUGGGGGAUAACGUAGGGAAACUUACGCUAAUACCGCAUACGACCUACGGGUGAAAGCAGGGGAUCUUCGGACCUUGCGCGAUUGAAUGAGCUGAUGUCGGAUUAGCUAGUUGGCGGGGUAAAGGCCCACCAAGGCGACGAUCCGUAGCUGGUCUGAGAGGAUGAUCAGCCACACUGGAACUGAGACACGGUCCAGACUCCUACGGGAGGCAGCAGUGGGGAAUAUUGGACAAUGGGCGCAAGCCUGAUCCAGCCAUACCGCGUGGGUGAAGAAGGCCUUCGGGUUGUAAAGCCCUUUUGCUGGGAAAGAAAAGCAGCAGGUUAAUACCCCGCUGUUCUGACGGUACCCAAAGAAUAAGCACCGGCUAACUUCGUG
rnacentral:rRNA from 1 species